UCAUAAGUGGUCUUGUGAAGGUCUUAAGUGGUCUUGUGAAGGUCGUAAGUGGUCUUGACUACAACAUUGACACAUACAGGUACUUUAAGAAGAAAAUCAUUCCGCGUUUAUUCAGUAGAUGAAAAAUGUACAAGUAGGUCCCAAAUGUGUUCGUGAACAUGUACACGUAUGAUACCUGAAAAUUACAGUGUACUUUUCACCAUGACAUCAUGUAGCACAGGAUUUCAUAGAAGUAUUGUAUAUGUAUAUCUCCAGUCAGCAUGAAGAGUAUAGCACUUCUGCUUGAAACUGUCGAAGUGUUUGUACAGAUGUACUCUUUGUCAUUUCCUACAUGUAAAUGUACAUCAUUGCCUUGCACUUUAAUCUCAAUUCUACAUGCAUUUGCCAGUGCAUUGUGCUCGGAAGUGCUCAAAAAGGAAGCAGGAAAAGAAAUUAUAUACACUGAAUUUAAAGAUAAUUUAUUCAUGAGGAGCGCCGUGGUGUAUUUGGUUUCUGUGAAUAGGCGUAACGCACCAUUUGUUUGCAACAAAACUAUGUCAGGAUGUGCACAAUGUUGGCAUGGCAACUAAUUGGUAACCAUAGCAGCCGAGCAGGUCUGUGUGUUGAUGGAUAUUGAGAUUCACUUUGGAUAGUGAAAACCGAACUCUGUUUUCCGGACUAAAUCACUAAUUACUAAAACAGAAAAGUACACCAUGAUUUAGUUUUUUUUUAAUGUCUAUUUUACUUUGGCAGAGGGAAGUGAGAAUUGUCCAGUGUUAAAUUUUUAAGUCUGCUUUUAAUGUCACGAAUUCUAGGCAAAAUAUCAAAUUAAAUAAAGACUCAAUUGUUAGUUUUCAGGAUCUUUUUACCAUUUAGACCCCAUAUGUCCUGAAGAAAAGGACUGUAUUAAAAGUUUAAAAUAUUAAAUUUUGCGAUCGUCCAAAAUCAAACAGUUUUAAAUUCACUACCUCCAAAUAAAAUAUCCGGCCAUCACCAAACCAACAUCUGGACCAAUCAGGACUGAAUCUUAUCAAAAUUUUAAAACACUUUGGUGUAGUCUCUAGCGUGUUUAGAUCAUGCCACUGUAAGCUGCGGCAAAGGUAUGCUCCAGACUAGAGACAAAUGCAGAAACAUUUCACUGGACUGUUCCUGUGGCCCCCAUUUAUGGCUGAAAGUACUGUGUUGGGUUUUGUCCCGAGCAGCUGUCACAGAACAGUGGCUCUGUGCAAUGAACAGACAUCACAAUGCCUGAACGGCCAUUUGUGGGGGCCUCUGCCCGUGAUGGCAUCACCACAGCCACUGGAUUCUAGUCUUUAAGCAAGGCGCUUCUGCUUGUGCCGAAUGAUGGUACUAUCACACUGUUUGCAGUGGGUUUAACAUUAUGAAUACAUGUACAUGUAGUAGCGUCUUGCAACAAGACUACCAAAACUAGAUGAGCAAACUUUGUUUAACUGAUAGCCUGUGUUUUGGUUUUUAGCAAAUAUUCACAAACCUGUGUUCAGUGGCUUUGUGAAUUGGUCAAAGGUGUUCACCAAAGUUAUGGGUUAAGCUUAAAUGGAGCAGGGAAAUAUUUUUGCUUUACGCAUUACAUCAGUAUUCUUAAUCCAUUCCCACUGGAAAUACGGUACAUGCUCUAUCUUGUCAGUUCCUAUUUGUUUUAGCGUACUUCAUGCACUUCCUUGACUACUUUUAAGCAAUUCUUGUUUUUUUUUCAUGUGGGUUUCUGAUUUUAUGUCAUAUUGAUCUUACAGUAAUGAACUUGUAUUUAUUUAUGGUGAAAUAUAAGCCUUGUGAACUUGCCGACGGGAUUAUUACAGCACUGUGUUGAAGGGUCAGUGGGAAACCCCCAUGUUUUUCCUGGGAAAAAAAAAUAAAGGCAGUUUCAGGUCUCUUUCAUUUCAUUUCUGAUUGGUUACAAAACCUUCCUACUUGGAAUGUGAUGAAUAUAAAAUUAGUUUUAUCGGUAUUUUGCCAAUCUGAAAGCACCAAAACCUGUAACGAGGGAAUGUGGCCAUUUAAAGAUGAAUUAUUCCAAUUUACAAGUCACCUGUGUAAGAGAUCAUGGAAUUUCACAGCGUCAGAUGCUUCAUGUAUAAUUUGAUCCAUGUUAAAUGAACAACGUACGUCUUUCUCUGUUACCUUUCUCUCUUUAAUAAUUUUUAGCGUGUUUCAUAUUAUGAAAGCUACUGGCAUAAACAUAUUUAUUUACUGCUUUGGGGUUCAUUUCCUUAAAAUUAUGGAAAAUGUCUUAUUUUAAUCUCUGCAUGAACUUGGAGAACUUGUGUUGGUAGAAUAAAUAAGAAUUGGUGUAGAACCAAUA